rnacentral:rRNA from 1 species
AUUGAACGCUGGCGGCAGGCCUAACACCUGCAAGUCGAGCGAGCGGCGGACGGGUGAGUAAUGUAUGGGGACUGCCCUAUAGAGGGGGAUAACUAAUGGAAACGGUGGCUAAUACAGCAUACUAUCGGAUAACCCAUAUGGGAUUAGCUAGUAGGGGGGGUAAAGGCUCAACUAGGCGACGAUCUCUAGCUGGUCUGAGAGGAUGAGCAGCAACACGGGGACUUAGACACGGCCCAGACUCCGACGGAGGCAGCAGUGGGUAAUAUUGCGCAAUGGGCGCAAGCCUGAUGCAGCCAUGCCGAGGGUAUGAAGAAGGCCCUAGGGUUGUAAAGUACUUUCAGCGGUGAGGCGUUACCCGCAGAAGAAGCACCGGCUAACUCCGUGCCAGCAGCCGCGGUAAUUC